rnacentral:rRNA from 1 species
UACGGGGGGGGCAAGCGUUGUUCGGAAUUACUGGGCGUAAAGGGCUCGUAGGCGGCCAACUAAGUCAGACGUGAAAUCCCUCGGCUUAACCGGGGAACUGCGUCUGAUACUGGAUGGCUUGAGAUUGGGAGAGGGAUGCGGAAUUCCAGGUGUAGCGGUGAAAUGCGUAGAUAUCAUGAGGAAUACCAGAGGCGAAGGCGGCUACCUGGACAAUUGCUGACGCUCAGGCACGAAAGCGUGGGGAGCAAAAGGG